rnacentral:rRNA from 1 species
CCUACGGGAGGCAGCAGUGGGGAAUUUUGGACAAUGGGCGCAAGCCUGAUCCAGCAAUGCCGCGUGAGUGAAGAAGGCCUUCGGGUUGUAAAGCUCUUUUGUCAGGGAAGAAACGGCAGUUUCUAAUACAGAUUGCUAAUGACGGUACCUGAAGAAUAAGCACCGGCUAACUACGUGCCAGCAGCCGCGGUAAUACGUAGGGUGCAAGCGUUAAUCGGAAUUACUGGGCGUAAAGCGUGCGCAGGCGGUUUUGUAAGUUUGUCGUGAAAUCCCCGGGCUCAACCUGGGAAUGGCGAUGAAGACUGCAAGGCUAGAAUCUGGCAGAGGGGGGUAGAAUUCCACGUGUAGCAGUGAAAUGCGUAGAGAUGUGGAGGAACACCGAUGGCGAAGGCAGCCCCCUGGGUCAAGAUUGACGCUCAUGCACGAAAGCGUGGGGAGCAAACAGGAUUAGAUACCCUGGUAGUCCACGCCCUAAACGAUGUCUACUAGUUGUCGGGUUUUAAUUAACUUGGUAACGCAGCUACGCGUGAGUAGACGCCGUCGGGAGGUACGGUCGCGAGAAGUAAACGUAACUAAGUAAGUAGUAGACGUGUAGAGAGACGACGACGACGACGACGGAGGAGGAGG